GAUGAACGCUGGCGGCGUGCCUAAUACAUGCAAGUCGAGCGAACAGACGAGGAGCUUGCUCGUCUGACGUUAGCGGCGGACGGGUGAGUAACACGUGGAUAACCUACCUAUAAGACUGGGAUAACUUCGGGAAACCGGAGCUAAUACCGGAGAAUAUAUUGAACCGCAUGGUUCAAUAGUGAAAGACGGUUUUGCUGGCACUUAUAGAUGGAUCCGCGCCGCAUUAGCUAGUUGGUAAGGUAACGGCUUACCAAGGCAACGAUGCGUAGCCGAGCUGAGAGGGUGGUCGGCCACCCUGGAACUGAGACACGGUCCAGACUCCUACGGGAGGCAGCAGUAGGGAAUCUGCCGCAAUGGGCGAAAGCCUGACGGAGCAGCGCCGCGUGAGUGAUGAAGGUCUUCGGAUCGUAAAACUCUGUUAUUAGGGAAGAACAAAUGUGUAAGUAGCUAUGCACGUAUUGACGGUACCUAGUCAGAAAGCCACGGCUAACUACGUG
rnacentral:rRNA from 1 species